rnacentral:misc_RNA from 1 species
GAAAUGCGAUAAGUAGUGUGAAUUGCAGAAUUCAGUGAAUCAUCGAAUCUUUGAACGCACAUUGCGCCCUUUGGCAUUCCGAAGGGCAUACCUGUCCGAGCGUCAUUACGCACCCUCAAGCCCGGCUUGUGUGAUGGGCCCUGGCGUCUCGUUCGCGAGACGGGCCCGAAAGGCAGCGGCGGCGUCGACCCGAUGAGCCCGAGCGUAUGGGGACUUUUGUCACACGUUUGCGGUGCGGACCGGCGCCUGCUUGACUUUUCUGAUUAUCCAGGUUGACCUCGGAUCAGGUAGGGAUACCCGCUGAACUUAAGC